rnacentral:lncRNA from 1 species
CAGCUCUUAAAUAAAAGUGUCCAAAUAACCUAACAUUAAAAUACUUUUGUCUCAUCUCCCUCUCUCAUCUUCUUCCAUCAUCUGAACCCUAACGCCCCAGAUGUUCCUCCAUUAACACCGGCCAUCCUCCACAAAUUACCACCACAAAUCAACACCCAACAACCAUCACCCUUCCCUCAACCCUAUUCUAUCAUCAUUUUGCCCAAAACCUCAUAAAUCAGUCCGUUUCGAGUUUGAAGUUGAAGGAGAAGAAAUUCGCCAAUUCGUCAGCUUCCUUGAGCGAUAGGGCUCAAAACGAGCAUUGGCCAUGUGUUUUCGUUGAGAACACCUGGUUAAUAUUUGUUUCGACUCGAAUCGAAGCCGAGGUUCAUUCAAGCCAUCUCUCGAUUUUCCCCUUUAGGUAUUUCUCUCUGUUCCUUUUCUUUUCCUUGUUUUCAUUCUUGUUUCCACUCCCGCCUCGUUCUUCUCUGAUUUUUUGUUGUUCUUCAUCACUGUUUUUUUUCCUAUCUCGUGUUUAUCUGUUUUUCUAUUGUGAAAGUAUCGUUAAAGUCGAGUCGAUUAAUAUAACAGUUAGUGUCGAUUUAGGAUUCGUCUAGGAUUGUGAAUUAAUUCAGUCGUGUGUGAUUCUAUCUUGUGACUGCUUUUGAGUUUUUCUUUUAGUUUAAUUUUGCUUCGAUUUCGAUUAAGUCUGUUGUUUUGUGAUUUUUAUGUUAGUUUAAUUUGGUUUCGAAUGUAUUUUUUUUCGUUGAAUUUGAUUACUUCAGUAAUUUCUUGUUUUGCCGUUAGUAGGUUUCUAUUAAUUCUAGUUUGAUUGGAUAUAGUUGCGUAGUUAGAUGAAUUAACCUUAGUUUGUUUUUAAUAAAGGCAAAAGGGGUUUGGGUUGGGUCAGUAGAGUUAUUUGGUAAUUUCAGGAUAAGCUAAGGGCAAUUUCGCAAUUGAGAUAGUUCAAAGCUGGGAAUCUUUUAAUAACUGAAUUAAGAAAUCACUAUAAGCACUUAGAAGAGGUUAAAAAUUGAAUUUUAGUAGUAUUAGUGUACUAACUUGUGGCACAAUUCAAAAACUAAGGGAUUAAAAGCUGAAAAAGGGAGGGACUAAUAUGAGAAGUGCAAAAUUGAGGGUUGCCCUUCCUUAGGCCUAUAAAAGGCAUCAAAAUGCCUUGAGAAGCAAGUUUGGCAGCCCAAAAAUACCCCCAAGCUUCCAGAUCUGAAAUUCAUAUCUGAAAUCCCCUUAGAUCUUAGCAUUCUUCAAGAAAAAACUAAAAAUAAUAUAAAACUGUAGAAAACCAAAGAAAAGCUAUUGUUUUAUUGGAUUCUAUGUGAAUGUUGUCUCCUAGCUACUGCUUUACAUUUUUAGUUUUUGUUUCUGAUUAUUCAAAGUUUUAGAGUGUGGUUGAUUGGUUUCGAGGGAAUUUGGGGUUCAAGUAAGACUGUUUCAGGCUGUUUCUGUCAGUUGGUGAAUUCAAAAAAUGGCUCCAGUCCAGUUUCGAGUAUGUCUGGGUGUUUUCGAGUCAGUUUGAGGUCAUUCGAAUUGGUCUAGUGAGUUAAUUUGGAAUCUGGGUCGUUUGUUCCAGCUUGUUUGCAUUUGAAACAACAUGAUUUUGCUCUUAAGUGUUCAGUUAGUUGAGAUUCAGCAGCUCUUGAGGUCCUUUGGGUCGUAUCUGGUUUGAUUCAAGUUUGGUUGAUUGGUUGUUUGCUGGAAUUGGUAAUUACUGGUUUGUUUUUAAGCUGGUGGUGUCAUUUUGGUUUAAAAUUGCAUUGGCUUUCAAUAUCAAAUCCUCCUGUUGCUUACAAGUUGAUCCCUGCUGAUUUGUAUUCGAUUUGCUAUUGUUGUUACAUCUACUAUUGCUGACUGCUCCUAUUUUCAUUGUAUUUCGAAUUCCAGGUACACCUUUGAAUCUCAGCUGUAAUUCCGAGUUUGAAAAAUAGAAUAAGAGUGUCCAUUUAUUCAAUCUUGAAGAAUGAUUGCGGGAAUAUCACCAGCUAAAUGCAUAAUAGUGAAGUGUCGAUUCUUAUAUGUUGAAAAUUGGACUGUUAAUAUAUGAUGUGUACUGUGAGUUAUUUUAAAUUCGCAAAUUGGAAGUUGUGACUUAGUCUUUGUUAGUUUAAUCUCGUGUUCUUGUGUAGCUUCAUUAAAAUUAGUUUAAAUGAGAUUGAUGAGUAUUAGCAUGUCAUUAAAAUGAUUGCAGUGUUUAACUUUAAAAUUAAGAGUUACUUUAAUAUUGAUAAUGCUUCCCUGAACAAUUGAAUGUUGAUAGGAG